AUUGUUAUUAGCGUGGGCCAGGGAGGGCUGCGUAAAAGCAGCUGGUGGAGGAGGGAGAGAUGCCGUGUGACCGUCUGGGUUCGCAUGCAUGAAGUAUUAUCUGGGCCUGGAGUGUGCAAGGCACACAUGUGUCCUUACUGCAUGUGUUGUCACAUAUGUGCAAUGCCAUGCUCCUGAGCCUUUGAUUGCAGACGUGUGGGAAGUGGGCCCCGUCCCCACCCCCAGUGCCACCCUGCUCUGCUUCUCUUCCCUUGCUGUGCUCUAAAACGAGAAGUACAAGUGAGUUCCCCCAAGGGGUCGGCCGCGCCUCUUCCUGUCCCCGCCCUGCCGGCUGCCCCAGGCCAGUGGAGUGGCAGCCCCAGAACUGGGACCACCGGGGGUGGUGAGGCGGCCUGGCACUGGGAGCUGCAUCUGAGGCUUAGUCCCUGAGUUCUCUGCCUGCCCAGACUAGCUGCACCUCCUCAUUCCCUGCGCCCCCUUCCUCUCCGGAAGCCCCCAGGAUGGUGAGGUGGUUUCACCGAGACCUCAGUGGGCUGGAUGCAGAGACCCUGCUCAAGGGCCGAGGUGUCCACGGUAGCUUCCUGGCUCGGCCCAGUCGCAAGAACCAGGGUGACUUCUCGCUCUCCGUCAGGGUGGGGGAUCAGGUGACCCAUAUUCGGAUCCAGAACUCAGGGGAUUUCUAUGACCUGUAUGGAGGGGAGAAGUUCGCGACUCUGACAGAGCUGGUGGAGUACUACACUCAGCAGCAGGGCGUCCUGCAGGACCGCGACGGCACCAUCAUCCACCUCAAGUACCCGCUGAACUGCUCCGAUCCCACUAGUGAGAGGUGGUACCAUGGCCACAUGUCUGGCGGGCAGGCAGAGACGCUGCUGCAGGCCAAGGGCGAGCCCUGGACGUUUCUUGUGCGUGAGAGCCUCAGCCAGCCUGGAGACUUCGUGCUGUCUGUGCUCAGUGACCAGCCCAAGGCUGGCCCAGGCUCCCCGCUCAGGGUCACCCACAUCAAGGUCAUGUGCGAGGGUGGACGCUACACAGUGGGUGGUUUGGAGACCUUCGACAGCCUCACGGACCUGGUGGAGCAUUUCAAGAAGACGGGGAUUGAGGAGGCCUCAGGCGCCUUUGUCUACCUGCGGCAGCCGUACUACGCCACGAGGGUGAAUGCGGCUGACAUUGAGAACCGAGUAUUGGAACUGAACAAGAAGCAGGAGUCCGAGGAUACAGCCAAGGCUGGCUUCUGGGAGGAGUUUGAGAGUUUGCAGAAGCAGGAGGUGAAGAACUUGCACCAGCGUCUGGAAGGGCAGCGGCCAGAGAACAAGGGCAAGAACCGCUACAAGAACAUUCUCCCCUUUGACCACAGCCGAGUGAUCCUGCAGGGACGGGACAGUAACAUCCCCGGGUCCGACUAUAUCAAUGCCAACUACAUCAAGAACCAGCUGCUAGGCCCUGAUGAGAACGCUAAGACCUACAUCGCCAGCCAGGGCUGUCUGGAGGCCACGGUCAAUGACUUCUGGCAGAUGGCGUGGCAGGAGAACAGCCGUGUCAUCGUCAUGACCACCCGAGAGGUGGAGAAAGGCCGGAACAAAUGCGUCCCAUACUGGCCCGAGGUGGGCAUGCAGCGUGCUUAUGGGCCCUACUCUGUGACCAACUGCGGGGAGCAUGACACAACCGAAUACAAACUCCGUACCUUACAGGUCUCCCCGCUGGACAAUGGAGACCUGAUUCGGGAGAUCUGGCAUUACCAGUACCUGAGCUGGCCCGACCAUGGGGUCCCCAGUGAGCCUGGGGGUGUCCUCAGCUUCCUGGACCAGAUCAACCAGCGGCAGGAAAGUCUGCCUCACGCAGGGCCCAUCAUCGUGCACUGCAGCGCCGGCAUCGGCCGCACAGGCACCAUCAUUGUCAUCGACAUGCUCAUGGAGAACAUCUCCACCAAGGGCCUGGACUGUGACAUUGACAUCCAGAAGACCAUCCAGAUGGUGCGGGCGCAGCGCUCGGGCAUGGUGCAGACGGAGGCGCAGUACAAGUUCAUCUACGUGGCCAUCGCCCAGUUCAUUGAAACCACUAAGAAGAAGCUGGAGGUCCUGCAGUCACAGAAGGGCCAGGAGUCGGAGUACGGGAACAUCACCUACCCCCCAGCCAUGAAGAAUGCCCAUGCCAAGGCCUCCCGCACCUCGUCCAAGUGAGUGGCCCUGACUGCCACCGCCCGGCAUCCACCCCUUUGUCCUGCCCAGCCCGAUCCUCACUUUCUGGAGAGGACAAGUGUUGCAGCUGGGGGGACCUGGCUUCAAGUUCAGGAGCUUGGAGUCUAGUGCAGGGACCGUGGCUGGGUCACCUGUGAGAUGGGGUGGCCAGAGGGGACUGCCAGUGCCGGGUCCCCCUGUGCUGUCUCCUGACCUGCACCAACUGCCUGUACUUGCCCCCCUGCACCCGGCUGCAGACACAAGGAGGAUGUGUAUGAGAACCUGCACACUAAGAACAAGAGGGAGGAGAAAGUGAAGAAGCAGCGGUCAGCAGACAAGGAGAAGAGCAAGGGUUCCCUCAAGAGGAAGUGAGCGGUGCUGUCCUCAGGUGGCCACGCCUCAGCCCUGACCCUGUGGAAGCAUUCUGCGAUGGACAGACUCACAACCUGAACCUAGGAGCGCCCCAUUCUUUUGUAAUUUAAAUGGCUGCAUACCCCCCACCUCUCCCUGACCCUGUAUAUAGCCCAGCCAGGCCCCAGGCAGGGCCAACCCUUCUCCUCUUGUAAAUAAAGCCCUGGGAUCACUGUG